UCCAGACUCCUACGGGAGGCAGCAGUGGGGGAUAUUGCACAAUGGGGGAAACCCUGAUGCAGCGACGCCGCGUGGGCGAAGAAGUAUUUCGGUAUGUAAAGCCCUAUCAGCAGGGAAGAAGAAAUGACGGUACCUGAGUAAGAAGCACCGGCUAAAUACGUGCCAACAGCCGCGGUAAUACGUAUGGUGCAAGCGUUAUCCGGAUUUACUGGGUGUAAAGGGGGCGCAGACGGCCAUGGCAAGCCCGGUGUGAAAGGCAGGGGCAUAACCCCUGGACUGCACUGGGAACUGUCAGGCUGGAGUGCCGGAGGGGUAAGCGGAAUUCCUGGUGUAGCGGUGAAAUGCGUAGAUAUCAGGAGGAACACCGGCGGCGAAGGCGGCUUACUGGACGGCAACUGACGUUGAGGCCCGAAAGCGUGGGGAGCAAACAGGAUUAGAUACCCGAGUA
rnacentral:rRNA from 1 species